rnacentral:rRNA from 1 species
UACAGAGGGUGCAAGCGUUAAUCGGAGUUACUGGGCGUAAAGGGCGCGUAGGCGGUUAUUUAAGUGAGUUGUGAAAUCCCUGGGCUUAACCUAGGAACUGCAACUUAUACUGGAUAGCUGGAGUACUGUAGAGGGUAGUGGAAUUUCCGGUGUAGCGGUGAAAUGCGUAGAGAUCGGAAGGAACACCAGUGGCGAAGGCGGCUACCUGGACAGAUACUGACGCUGGAGGCGCGAGAGCGUGGGGAGCAAACAGG